UACGGAGGGUGCGAGCGUUGUCCGGAAUCACUGGGCGUAAAGGGCGCGUAGGCGGCAGGCCAAGCGUGCGGUGAAAGUCCGGGGCUCAACCCCGGAUCUGCCGUGCGGACUGGUUUGCUAGAGCACUGUAGAGGCGAGUGGAAUUCCGGGUGUAGCGGUGGAAUGCGCAGAUAUCAGGAGGAACACCGGUGGCGAAGGCGGGUCUCUGGGCAGUAACUGACGCUGAGGAGCGAAAGCGUGGGGAGCGAACAGG
rnacentral:rRNA from 1 species